GCGGUAAAAGGGAAUGGAGUUUCCCUUGCCCAACCGCCUUAAUGGCUGAUGACUCCUGUUCAAUC
rnacentral:ncRNA from 2 species